ACAAUGGGGGCAUCCAUGAUCCAGCAAUGCCGAGAGUGUGAAGAAGGCCUUCGGGUUGUAAAGCACUUUUGUCCGGAAAGAAAUCGCACUUACUAAUAUUAGGUGUGGAUGACGGUACCGGAAGAAUAAGGACCGGCUAACUACGUGCCAGCAGCCGCGGUAAUACGUAGGGUCCAAGCGUUAAUCGGAAUUACUGGGCGUAAAGCGUGCGCAGGCGGUUGUGCAAGACCGAUGUGAAAUCCCCGGGCUUAACCUGGGAAUUGCAUUGGUGACUGCACGGCUAGAGUGUGUCAGAGGGGGGUAGAAUUCCACGUGUAGCAGUGAAAUGCGUAGAGAUGUGGAGGAAUACCGAUGGCGAAGGCAGCCCCCUGGGAUAACACUGACGCUCAUGCACGAAAGCGUGGGGAGCAAACAGGAUUAGAUACCCUGGUAGUCCACGCCCUAAACGAUGUCAACUAGUUGUUGGGGAUUCAUUUCCUUAGUAACGUAGCUAACGCGUGAAGUUGACCGCCUGGGGAGUACGGUCGCAAGAUUAAAACUCAAAGGAAUUGACG
rnacentral:rRNA from 1 species